GACGAACGCUGGCGGCGUGCCUAAUACAUGCAAGUUGAGCGCUGAAGGUUGGUACUUGUACCAACUGGAUGAGCAGCGAACGGGUGAGUAACGCGUGGGGAAUCUGCCUUUGAGCGGGGGACAACAUUUGGAAACGAAUGCUAAUACCGCAUAAAAACUUUAAACACAAGUUUUAAGUUUGAAAGAUGCAAUUACAUCACUCAAAGAUGAUCCCGCGUUGUAUUAGCUAGUUGGUGAGGUAAAGGCUCACCAAGGCGAUGGUACCUAGCCGACCUGAGAGGGGUGUCGGCCAACUUGGGAACGGGACAAGGCCCAAACCCCUUAGGGAGGGAGCAGGAGGGGAACUUCGGGCAUGGACGAAAGGCCUACCGGGGCACGCCGGCGGAGUGAAGAAGGUUUUCGGAUCGUAAAACUUCGUUGGUAGAGAAGAAAGAUGGUGGGAGUUGAAAGCGCAUCAAGUGACGGUAACUACCCAGAAAGGGACGGCUAACUACGUG
rnacentral:rRNA from 1 species